UUUUGGAGAUCCAGUUGAGGGGAAAUUAAAUUACGGAUAUAUUUCUUUUUGGUGGAGUGAGACAUAUUGAUGUGUUUUUCAGUGACUUCAAGGUAUCUAGUUAAGGUAUUACUGGGAAUCCCAAAGUACAACGACUUCCAGGAAUACUCCUAGAGCUUAUCGGCUGACUCAUCUAGUAUUGUGAUUCUGAAGUCCAGGACCAAAGCUUAUAGUGUAUAUGGCUUUGCUCUAUAGCACCUGGAAUUAGAAUUAAAAUAUAUGGGUAGUGGAGGAGAAAUAAAGUUGAAAGGCACAUAACCAGAAGCUUGUCCAUGGAGAAUGCUUUUGAUCAGGACGGAUUUGCUAUAUCUUCCCAAAGGCAGAAAAAAGUUCAAGUUCAAGGAGAGAAGAAAAACACUAUGAUACCAGUAUUAAGAAAGAGGGUCUGUCCUGAAAGUCUCUGAAAGGAAGGCUGGAUCUCAGAGCCGCUGACAGACACCUGUGUGAAACCAGAUAAAAAACCAAAGUCGGUAAAAUAAUCUUCAAUCCCGACGAUGCCUUUGAAAGAGACCAGACAAUCUUGGAUGUGUUUGCUAAAGGUCUUAGGACUCAGGAUGUCAUCAGAAAUGGUGCGGUUGGGGUCAAACGGGCCAGGCUGAUGAGUGGUACAAGGGUGAAAAGUCUCCAGCUCUGCAGAACUGCUAACAGUAACCAGGUCAUGCAAGCCACAUCCAAGACAGAGGCGUACAGAGAAAUUAUUUCCAGUCUUGGCUCUUCUACUAAUUAGCUGAGUGGCCCCAGGCAAGUCAAGUGACCUCCCUGAGCCUCCUCUCUUAACCUCAGAAUGUAAGUACUAAAGGUGCUAAAUGUAUGGGGGAGGGUGUGGAACUUUGGUAGAUCAUCUGGAAUUUGAGCACUGUGUGAGCUCCACAUUUAUACAGUUGGUUUAUACAAUGAAUAAGAUGGAACACCACUGUUCUCAAUAUACAAACUGACACACCAGUGAUGGUUAACUUUAUAUGUCAACUUGACUAGGCUUAGCGAUGCUCAGAUGGCAGGUUUCUGGGUGUGUCUACAAGUGUGACUCCAGAUGACAUUAGCACUUGAGUAGGCAGAUUCGGUAAAGAAGAUUGCCCUCAGUAAUGGGCAUCAUCCAAUCUGCUGGGAGCUCUAAUAGAACAAAAAGGUGGAAGAACGGCAGAUAGGCUCUAUUCCUCUCUCUCUCUCUCUCUCUCUCUCUCUCUCUCUCUCUCUCUCUCUCUCACGUGUGUACGCUCUCUUGUUGAGCUGGGAACAUCCAUCUUCUCCUGCCCUCAAACAUUGGUGUUCUUGGUUCUUGGGCCUUUGGACUCAGACUGAGAUUUACUCAAAUGGCCCCCAGUUCUCAGGCCAAUUUUUUGGCCUCCAUAACCACACAAGCCAAUUCCUAUAACAAAUCUGUCUCUGUCUCUCUGUGUGGCCCUAUCUCUGUCUAUCUCUGAGAGUGUUCUAUAUAUGCUUGCAAUUCUGGUGUGUCUAGAACAAAGCAAAGAAGCUUGGUUGCCAUAGGCUGCCAGCCAAGACAAUCUCCAGGGAGUCUGAGGCCCAAGAGAAGCGAUACAGCUAUGUGGAGUGGGUUCUCAUUACUCUCUUCCCCUGACCCAGUCUUGCCUCAGACUCAUUUUCAACAAGGUGCUCCAGGCAGCCAAAAUCAAUUGAUCACAAGAUAAAACUUAUUUUUCUCCUUCCCUGGAGCAAAUCCCACUGUGUAUAACCAUUGCCCAAGAUAUAUUAACUCACAUUAAGUUCCAUGCACACUAGAGAUACUGUGGAAGAGGGGGCUGGCACUGAAGGACAAGGAACUGACUGACAGUGGCCUGGGGAGAAAAUAAGAGGUACUCUUGCCUUUUGUUCAGCUCUCUCCCCAGGGUUGUGUGCUUCUAGGAGCUUCGAGCCUUUUCAGGCUUGACUGACACGUCCCUCUAUUACUUGCACAGCCACAUACUGUGUUCUGGAUGACAAGGACAAGUCCCCUACCCAACUGUGGUUGAACAAAACUCUACCCUGGACACAUUUCAGAGCAAGGAGAGGCGAUUCCUCAUGAGUGCAUCUAAAUGACCUAUUCUGGACAUUCCCAAAAUAAAGUCUUUUGAAUUGAUUUCACUCCUUAUACCUGGAUAAUUUUAUAGAUUUUAUAGACCAGAAGGAGACAUAAUUUCUUAUCUGUAAAAACUAACAAAGUAUGUUUGUUAAUAAAUAUGUAUAUCAGUUUCUUUAACCAGCUAUCAUAUUUGUUAUUUGUUCUCUGAAUCCGAAAAGCUGAGUUUAUUUUUCAAAAUAAACAACAGCAACAACAAAAUCCUGCCCAUGCCACCAGGGAGCUUGUGGAGGGCUGGGCAGAUGGAGGUUUUGGCAGAGUGGGGAGGGCUUCCUGCCUGCUUGUUCACAUUAAGUCCUUAGGUCUGUCCUGCCUUAGAUGACGUGUGCUAGAAAGAAAACAUUUCCAUCGUUCACAACAAUCUUGUAAGUUAGUUUAGAUAAGUGUUAUUUUGCAAAUGAGGAAAUUAGGGCCCAGGGAGAUUAAAGGGCCUGUCCAAGAUCUCAUGAUUGGUUAUGACUGGAAACAGAGUGCUAUCCCCUGACUUUUUCUGCAGUUUUCACUGGGACCCGUAGCCAUGACAGUUCUGCUCUGAUAUGGCUUGUGACUCUUUUCCCCUUUCCAUCUCCAGAGAUACGUUUCCAUGCAUGGAACAUCAAUACACACAAGGGAAACUUCUUGAUCACCAGCCAGCCUCAAAUGAAACUGUUGUCCUCACUAAGUGAUUCUCUAAGGAAACAGAUACAGGGCCACAGUCACAGAUAAUGCAGGAGGGACAUAGGGAGAGUGUUGGAAGAGGUCACUGAGAGAGCGGGACCACUGGUUGAUGGAUGAGCUGAACCUAGGUAAUCAGAGGCCUGUCACCCCCUCCCCUGGCAUGUUCUGCUUGCUUUCCUCAUGCCAGAAACUUCCCCAAGAACAUAGCCUUGAUGUGGUCUUGAAACCAUCUGGAUGGUAGUGUUGACUGAACCCAGUUAAGGCCUCUCUAGAAACUUUUAAGAUCUGGUAGCCGGGUAUGGAGAUCUACUCUUCCUGUGGCCACCCAAGAUAGGCCACGUAAAUAAGUUCCCUUGCUUAUUAAAUCUACCACCUGCCAAUCAGGAGUGUUCCACCCCUUUCUCUGGUCUUUCCUUUUCCUGAAUGCAUGGGGGCUAGUUUGUGAAGAGGCACAAUUUGCAACUUUAUUUGGAUGCCCACAGUGAUCACUCUGGAAGUUUUCUUACAGGCUGCUCCAUGCCGAGCCACAUGGGCAAAUCAAUGAAUGUUUGUACAUCUCUGGGUCCAGGUCGGUAAGAUGGGCAAAGAAUAAGAACACUCACCUCACAGGGUCAUCAUGAGGGGGAAUUGAGACCAUUGUUGUGUAAACACUGGAUUUCUAUAACAAUGUCACCAUUAUUAUCAUUAGGGAGGUGGAGUGUGGAAUAUGGAAAUAACAGAUGGUUUCUGCUUCCUCUUUGAAAGAUUGCAAUCGAGGAGGGAUAUUCACUAUGUUCACAAGUCAACUGCAUUCCUGAAGAACUACAUCAUUCAAAACGCACGUAAUCCAAGGAUAAUUUUUUUAUAAUCACAAAAUGGGCCAGGAGAUAGGUUCUCAGAGUGUACCAUCUGUAAUAGUAGCAUAAUUUUGCUUUAAUGAUGCUCUUUUAAAAAGCCCUAGCAAUAUCCCUUUUAUUUUGUGGUCUUUCCCUAAAAUUAACAGCACCAAGGGUCACGGCCACUGCCAGGCCUUCUGCCUCUAUCCCAUCUGACUUCAUUUCAUAGUAAGUCACAGCACGUUUUCAGGAUUGCUACUUUAUAGAAGUUUAGAUGGUACUAUCAUAAGCUAGAAAAGAUAUCAAACUAUGGAAGCAAUGCAUGUUAAAAUAACAGCACUGGUGUCAACAAAAUCACUCACAAAAGCCUCUGCCCGAGAUUCACACCAUGGUUUCCCACGAUAAUGACCAAGGCCCAUGCGGGUUUCUGUUUACCUCUAAUGUAAGCGGCCACCAGACAAGGGACUAAAUGUGGUUUAAAUUUCACUGAGUUGGUGCUCUGGCUCUGUUAUGCCAUUCCAGACGAAUCAUACAAAUUUGGAGGAACUUUGCACUAUUUUGAAUGUUGCCUGUUCAGUUGUAUUUUAUUACUAUUUUACAUAGCAUUAUUCAAAAUUUACAUAAUUCAAUAUACAUGAAGUGGGAGUGCAUGGUUUGAAUAAGGGCAAAUAACAUUUAAGGGGCCUCUAAGCCCUGAGAAUAAAGGUGGGAACGACUUGAUGUAGAGGGAGGCCAUUCCCCUAAUUGGGGAAUACUUUUUGAAGAAUGAACAUUUUGAAUACACUGAAUAAAAAUACAUUUUGAACAUGUCUGAAUAGAAAAUAAUUUGGAAUGUGUUGAAUAGAAGACAUAGCCUAAUUACUAUCAUAUGUCAAUUCUUUUUGUACCACUGGAAAUUGCUCAGUUUCAGAAUCAAUAGUUGUUCUUCUGAUGGCUGCACUUUUGAAGGAAGCUGGGAUCCUUCCUUCCUAUUUUCAAAGCCUUUGUAUCCCUCAGCAGCAUGAUAAGCACCCAGGGGCAGGGAAGGAAGCCACCCUCAAAGGUUAAGUUCUGCCCAAAAUUCCUGGAAUGUUGGUGGGGACAGGGGCAGAAUUUCCAAACUCUACUUUGCCAAACACAGGGCACGGAUCAUACAAUAUUUCUCAAUAACCAAAAGUAACCACCAAUAUCUACUUGAAAGAAGCUUAAGUGGGAGUUCUAUCUUUGGUUGCCAAAGGAUACAUUAAGUCCUUUUGGGUGUUUGUUUGAAUAACAGAAUAGAUAGUUUAGGUUGCUUAGGAGAACACAAUGCAUAUUUUUAUCCUGAAUGAAUUUUUAUCCACAAUGAAUUUUUAUCCUGAAUUACCCUUGCUUUAAAACAAUAACAAACAGUAACCAAAAUUCCUUCUUUGCUUGAAUUAGCACACUAAUCAGUUAGUCAACAAAUAUUUAUUAAGUUGCUGCAAUGGAAACUUUGACUUCCCUGUUUAAUAACACUUGAUGAAUUCUCUCAUAUCCUGUGAAAGAAUAACCCUAUCGUCUUAAAACCUGCUUAUUUUUCCAUUUCUUCUUUGGACUAGCCAAAGGUGUUUGUGUUUAUUGUGCUUUUUGCUUCCCACCACCCCCCACGAAGAGAUGGAUUAUUCAAUCCUAUGUCUCUUUCCAGUUCUAAAUUCUACAACCUUAGGUCAAGAAAGGAAAACUACGUUUCCAUGUUAUAGAAGACAAACCCACUCGUUAAGAUCACCUACCUACCUAGUGCAGUAGUUCCCAAAUCUGGAUGUGCAUCAAAACCACAUGGCGGACAUACAGACAUGUAAUCAAAUGGUAGUCAGUGUACCUUAACCCAAAGAAUUUCACUUGGGAACUACUGACCUCAUUUUACAGGCAAGGGAAUUGAAGGCACACGCUUUGCUGCAGAGCUCAGCCAACAGCCCCAAGCCUCCUCCCAGCUCGCAGCCCUGUUUCAGAUCCGCUCAAGCCUCUAUUACAUUCAAUAACCUCCAGGAUUAAAGAGAUAAGUAUCUCUCAAAGAAAUCUUAAAUGGAUUUUUAGACAUAUCAAUUUUAUUUCUUUCCCUUAGAUCUCCACUCUCUAGGAAUAUAUGGGGUCUCAAGUUCCUUGAGGGCAAGAACCUUUCUUAAAAGUGACUGAGAGCACAUAAUCCUAUACGGGGUGCAAUUGAAAACAAACCACAAAUACUCCAUUUCACCCCAUUAGUUCAAAUUGAUCAUUGUCAAAUCAAUCAUUCAGCAUUCACUGAAGGCUCACUAGGUGCAUGGCUCUAUGCUAGGCUCUCGGCGGAUAGAGGAUUCAAUUAAAAAAUUUUUAAAAAGUGUCCCAAAGAAACUUGCAGUCUAAUUGAAGACAGGGCACCAAAACACAGAGAAAGGUAAUUAAACCAAUUUAUGGAAUAAGUUCUCUAGGGUGUGUUAGGGCCGGUUGACUGCUGUAACACACAAAACCCCCACUCGUGUAAUAUAAAUUUCUGGUAUUUGGGCAGAUUUCCUUCAGCAGGUGAUGCAAGAACAUGGUAUGAGCUAUCUGUUGAUAGAGAUUUAAAAUAGUUAGAAUCUUAAAGCAAGAUUGCUUUAUGGUCCUCUCACUGAAUCACAUUAUAAGGUGAGUCUUCUGCUUGGCAUUCUCUUCAAGCAUUUGGGGACUCAGGGCUGAGUGUCCCAUCCAACCUUCAUAACUCGUAGGACCUCACCACAGGCGUUCUGGGCAUGAACUUCCCCUUGGGUCUUCUCAUUCUCUACUUUUAUUUUCCCUUUACUCUGAUGCCUUGCCUUUUUCCUUCCCUUCCCUUCCUCCUCCCUCUUCUUUUCUUUUCUUUUCUUUUCUUUUCUAUUCUUUUCUUUUCUUUUCUUUCUUUUUUUUAGAGAGAGAGUGCAAGUAGGGGAGAGGGACAAAGGGAGAGAGAGAGAGAACCUUAAGCAGGCCCCAUGCUCAAUGUGGAGCCCAACAUGGGGCUUGAUCGUACAACCCUGGGAUCAUGACCUGAACCAAAAUCAAGAGUUGGAUGCUCACCUGGCUAAGCCACCCUUCUUUCUUUCUUCUUCUUUUUUAAAAAUCUUACUGGGAUGCCUAGGUGGCUCAGUUGGUUAAGCAUCUGGUUUCAGCUCAGGUCAUGAUCUCACAGUUUGUCAGGCACUGUGCUGAUGGCUCAGAGCAUGGAGCCUGCUUCAGUCUCCCUUUCUCUCUGCCCCUCCCCCUCCCUCUCUAAAAAAAUAAACACUUUAAAAAUUUAAAUAAAAUAAAAUAAAUAAAAUCUUACUAAUGUAUACAUUUUGGAAAGGUAAAUAUAUAAAUUUAUUAAGUGAAGCCAAACCCAAAAAUAUAACUGCUGUUAUGUCCCUUCAAAGCCUUUUCUGAUGAAGUACAAAUGCAUAAAUAAAUACAUGGAAAUAAAAUACACUGCCAUUACACUAGAAUAAGAAAUAAAAGGCAUCAAAAUUGGCAAGGAAGAAGUAAAACUUUCACUAUUUUUAGAUGACUUGAUACUCUAUAUAGAAUACCCUAAAGACUCCACCAAAAACUUACUAGAAUUGAUAAGUGAAUUCAGUAAGGUCGCAGGAUACAAAAUCCAUAAACAGAAAUCUGUUGCAUUCCUGUACAAUAAUGAAGGGGCAGAGAGUGAAAUUAAGAAAACAAUCCCAUUUACAAUUGUACCAACAAGAAUAAAAUGCCUAAGAAUAAACUUAACCAAAAAGGUGAAAGACUUAUACUCUGAAAGCUACAUAUAAAAUGUUGAUCAAAGACAUUGAAGAUGACACAAAGAAAUGGAAAGAUAUCCCAUGCUCAUGGAUUGGAAUAACAAAUAUUGUUAAAAUGUCCAUACUACCCAAAGCAACCUACAGAUUUAAUGCAAUCUCUAUCAAAAUACCAACAGCAUUUUUUAGAGAAUUAUAACAAAUAAUAUUAAAAUUUGUAUGGAACUCCCAAAGACCCUGAAUAGCCAAAGUAACCUUGAAAAAGAAGAACAAAACUGGAGGUAUCACAUUCCCAGAUUUCAGGAUAUACUGCAAAGCUGUUGUAAUCAAAACAGCAAUCAAAAGUAGACACAUAGGGACGCCUGGCUGGCUCAGUCAGUAGAGCCCGCAACUCCUCAUCUCAGGCUUGUGAGUUCAAGCCCCAUGUUGGGUAUGGAGCCUAGUUAAAAAAAAAAAAAAAAAAAAAAGAUACAUAGGUCAGUAGAACAGACUAGAAAAUAAACCCAUGAUUAUAUGGUCAAUUAAUCUAUGACAAGGGAGGCAAGAAUAUGCAAUAAGAAAAAGACAGUCUCUUCAACAAAUGGUGUUGGGGAAAUUGGACAGCUACAGGCAAAAGAAUGAAACUGGACCGCUUUCUUACACUACACACAAAAGUAAACUCAAAAUGGAUUAAAGAUCUGUGAGACCUGAAACCAUAAAAAUCCUAGAAUAGAGCACAGGGAGUAACUUCUUUGACACUGGCUGUAGCAACUUUAUUCUAGAUAGGUCUCCUCAGGCAAGAAAAACAAAAGCAAACAUAAACUACUGGGACUACAUCAAAAUUAAAAGCUUCUGCACAGCAAAGGAAACCAUCAACAAAACAAAAAGGCAACUUACUGAAUGGGAGAAGAUAUUUGCAAAUGAGGUAUUUGCUAAGGGGUUAGUAUCCAAAACAUGUAAGUAACUUCUAUAACUUAACACCAAAAAACCUGCAGACAAUCCAAUUAAAAAAGAGGCAGAAGACAUGAACAGACAUUUCCCCCAAGAAGACCUCCAGAUGGCCACUAGGUACAUGAAAAGAUGUUCCACGUCACUCAUCAUCAGGAAGAUGCAAAUCAAAACCACAAUGAGAUACCACCUUACACCUGUCAGGAUGGCUAAAAUAAAAAACACAAGAAACAACUAGGGUUGGCAAAGAUGUAGAGAAAAAGGAACCCUCUUGCAUUGUUGGUAGGAAUGCACACUAGUGCAGCCACUGUGGAAAACAGGAUGGAAGUUCCUCAAAAAAUUAAAAAUAGAAUCACCAUAUAACCCAGUAAUUCCACUACUGGUAUUUACACAAAGACUACAAAAACACUAACUUGAAAAGAUACACACACACACACACACACACACACACACACACACACACACAAUGGAAUAUUACUCAGCCAUAAAAAAGAAUGAAGUCUUGCCAUUCACAAUGUGGAUGGAGCUAGAGGGUUUAACGCUAAGUGAAAUAAGUCUGAGAAAGACAAAAACCAUAUGAUUUCACUCAUGUGUGGAAUUUAAGAAACAAAACAAACAAAAUACAAAGAGACAAACAAAAACACCAGACUCUUAGAGAACAAAUUGGUGGUUACCAGA